CACAUAUCCUUUCCUUGGUUUCCUGCGGGCUGCCGGUGUGAGGUGGGCAGGAAAGGGGCCUGCCUGGUGCCCCUCCGCACUGACUCGGAGAGCCUCGCAGCAGGGCUGUGGGAUGGGUGCCUGGGGCCAGCGUUGCAGUGCUGUUUAUUGAAGUCCCAUGCAGAGGUGCUUUCUGUAGGAAAUGAUGGGUGGCUGAGUGUGGGGAAGACGAGGCUUGGGGAAGGUGGUUUUGUUGCGCCGGGAUCCCGUGCUGUAAUGGGCAUGGCACCAAGCCCCCUGCUUGGGCCCAGGCUGCAGUCUGCAAGUGGAGAGUUGUGCCGCUACUUUAAAGAGAAAUGCAGUGGUCAAGCUCUGCAAUCCAAGCAAAACUAUGCAUCUUUUUAAAAAGAUGUGGCAUGCCAACCUCAGGAGGAGAAGUUCCAGAGUGGGAUAUGGACCACAGUACACCACACGUGAGAAAAUGUUAUGUCUUCAUGUGACCGCAGGAGAGAGAAAAGAAGAGGAUACACAGAGGACCUGAAAUUCUCCAGCAACGUUGCACAGUAUCUAGGGAUAUAC